UUUCACGGUUCACUGUUUCUAGUCCAUGUUAUAAUAAUACUUUUGUUUAAACAAAACAAAUACGCGACACUUUCCAACAUUUCAAUGGCUUAUUACAACCGGUGUGUAAUUCCGUAACAAGGUACUGCACGAAUCUCCACAAAUUCUUGUAGAUCAAUAGAAAAUAUAACAAUGGCCGUUAUUAGCUGCCCGAAACAACGGAAUUGGAUUUCUUAUUAAUUAUAUUUAGAUUAUCGUCGACUCUUUGAAGUUUUUGACAUUUGAAAAUGGCUUUCAGCUGAUAAUGAUUACGGGACCUCUUUGGUAUACGAGUAAUUUCCAAGAUAUCUGAGUGAAGUAAUUUACAACUUUUUCCACUUGAAGCUAUCCACGGGCGUGUUAAGAAAAACUAAAAUGAUUACGUUGCGUGUGCAAUGAAAUUCGACUGGAUUGCUAAUUUUUUAGCAAUUGUUAAUAUAAUCAAUCUAAUGAAACACCUUUUUUACAUAACUUUACGUUAUAUAUUUCGAUUUAGAUAAAUUUUAUUUUAUACUUGUUUCCACUAAUCAUUUACCACUAAUUAUUUUCAGUACCUACUUAGUUUCAUAUCAUAUAAAUAAACUGAAAGAUUUAGAUAAAUAGGGUUACGUGAUUAGAGUGUUAUUUAAAAUUUAAUUAUGCAUUGACUCUCUUCAUAUUCUAGAACGUUGUUCCUUUGCCGUCUCACGAGAAGUCGUGAUGAAAACAGUAAUUCUUUUUGAUACCAUAUUGCAGAAAUAACUAGAGUCAAUAUUCUCUGUUUCGCACGACAAACACUUACAACCUGAACUGUCUACAUAUUGAUAAAUUUAGCGACCGCAUUUGCGAUUUUUUAAAGUAAAGCCAAAUUAUUUUGUGUAAUCUUAAAGCGAAUUAAAAACUAAAACGUAAA